ensembl:lncRNA
UGAGGAUAAAAUUGAGAAGAAGAGGUUUCUCUUUCUCUCCCUUUACCUGCCCUGACAAACUCAAGCUUUCUUCUCUGCAAUGGGAACCUGCGUGGAAGCUUUUGCGUUUCCUUAGUCCUGAACUUCAGUCACUUUUAAAAUGAUGCAGUUGGGUACAGGUUGAAGUUUAUGUCUGGAUAAAUUAACUCCCCACUAUUUCUGGCCUACCUGGAUAUGGGCAGCACAUGCUCUUCAGGCAGAGGAAGUCCAGAGUCAAAGAGACACAAAUGCUUGAGUUUCAACAAUGUCCUUGGAGAGGGCCGGAAAAGGGCAAGAGGAAUUGGAAGCCACAUGGUAUCUGACAAGGCUUGUUCAUUAUCACAGCUUCUCCUCCUCUGUUGUGCUGUGUCAACCACCAAGUUGUGCCAGCCGAGAAUUGUGGUCUCAGGUCUCCAUCCAGAUCUUUGAUUGUGUGGCCACAUGGAUUCAGGCAGCUGAACACGAGCAUGGAGGCACAGGCUUUCCCUCUAAGGGUCUCAGGAAGACCACCAAACAUCAGAGGAAACCGAGGCUGAGGUCUACAUGCAACAGUCUUUGAAGAGCACGAGAACACACUGAGACCAGCAGAAAGGUAUAUAAAGUUUGUUAAGUUGAGAAACUCAGAUAAUCUGUCCGGCUGUGCCUAGCUCCUCUGGAUUUAAGGGACCUUCUUUUUCAUGGAAAGGAGUUUUUCUGGAGAUCAGCCUCUGAAGGUGGAGCCAAGGCCAUGAUCACAGGUCUCCUGUGUGAGAAGUCAUUUCCUGAUGCUCCCGGCAUUCUUCCAGAAACCCCUCUUUCCACUUUCUAAUGCUGCCAUAAUUACCUAUAGGUAACAAAAUAUUUUCUGCCCGUUCUUACUAGAAAAAUGUGUGAAGAGAGGGUAGAUAGGUUCUAACCCUUGGUCUAUGAUGUAGGCCGUUCUUGCAUUGCUAUAAAGAAAUACCUGAGACUGGGUAAUUUAUAAAGAAAAGAGGCUUAAUUGGCCAUGAUUCUGCAGGCUGUACAGGAAGCAUGGUGCUGGCAUCUACUCAGCUUUGGGAGGCCUCAAGGAGCUUUCACUCAUGGCAGAGGGUGAAGCGGGAGCUUGCCUGUCACAUGGUGAAAGCAGGAGCAAGAAAGAGAGGAGGGAGCUGCCACAUGUGUUUAAACAACCAGCUCUUGUGCGAACUCACUAUCAUGAGGACAGCAUCAAGCCAUGAGGGAUCCACCCCCAUGACCCAAACACCUCCCACUAGGCCCCAACUCUAAUAUUGGGGAUUACAUUUCCACAUGGGAUUUGGAGGGGAUAAAUGUCCAAACUAUAUCUGUCCAUUUGUAAACUACAUGAAAUUUAGUCUAUUGACUUUAUAGUGUCUCUUUGUCUUUCUGUAUUGCUUGGUUCUUGACUAUUUGUGGGGAUAGUUGAUGUCAUAAAACAAAUGAGUUAUCACAGUCUCUGGAACUGUUAUUGAAAUGAUUUUUGCCAGUAUUUUUCUAGGAAUAUAUGUCAAGUUUUUAUGCUUUCAUUUUAAAGACAUUUUCUUUGUUUUCUAAAGAUAAAUAUUACUUAACACUAUCAGCAACUUCAUUUUCCACUUCACUUCUUUAGGAGUUUUAAAAAAACACUGAUUAGUGGCACUAAAAUAGUUAUAUUAAAUGCUCUGAAAUGUAGCUCACCAGAGAAUGUAGAUGAAUAAUAUUUUUCUUAGUAAAAUAUGCUGUUUAAACUCCUCUUCCUCUCUCAUUUUUCUUAAUCCUUCUCUUUCCAUUUCCUCUCUAUUAGUAAUUGGACUCAUUAGACUCAGCUACCUCCUUCUCUUCUGUUCUUUAUCUGGUAUUUAGUUAACACUAUAUUCUAGGUGCUCACUGUAGGAACUUAUACUCUAGAAGGGAGGGCAAUGUACAGAAAUUCCAUAAUAAAACAGAAUAUGUGCUUAAAUGCUAUAAGAGUUAUAAAAUGUAUUAGGAGAGAUUCUUCAUUAAGGAGAGAUGAUUCUUGAUCGAGUGAUCAUAAUGGUGAUUAAUUAGCAGAGAACAAGUUUUUAGAAAUGUACACUCUAUGUAAAUUUGUUUACGUUUUUCUAGAUUCUGGAUAUUAGUCCUUUGUCAGAUGGAUAGAUUGCAAAAAUUUUCUCCCAUUCUGUAGGUUGUCUGUUCAUUCUGAUGACAGUUUCUUUUGCUGUGCAGAAGCUCUUUAGUUUAAUUAGAUCCCAUUUAUCAAUUUUGGCUUUUGUUGCCAUUGCUUUUGGUGUGUUAGUCAUGAAGUCUUUGCCCAUGCUUAUGUCCUGAAUGGUAUUGCCUAAGUUUUCUUCUGGGGUUUUUAUGGUUUUCAAUUUUACAUUUAAGUCUUUAAUCCAUCUUGAGUUAAUUUUUAUAUAAGGUGUAAGGAAGGGAUGCAGUUUCAGUUUUGUGCAUAUGGCUACCUAGUUUUCCCCAUUAAAAAGGGGGCAAAGGAUAUGAACAGACACUUCUCAAAAGAAGACAUUUAUGUGGCCAACAAACAUAUGAAAGAAAACUCAUCAUCACUGGCCAUUAGAGAAAUGAAAAUCAAAACCACAAUGAGAUACCAUCUCAUGACAGUUAAAAUGGCAAUCAUUAAAAAGUCAGGAAACAACAGAUGCUGGAGAGGAUGUGGAGAAAUAGGAACGCUUUUACACUGUUGGUGCAGAAUGUAAAUUAGUUCAACCAUUGU